ensembl:snRNA U6 U6 spliceosomal RNA
GUGCUCACUUCAGCGGCACAUACACUAAAAUUGGAAAGAUUUUAGUGUGGCCCCUGUGCAAGGAUGACAAACAAAUAUGUGAAGCAUUCCAUACUUUA